GGCGGCGGCGGCAGCAGCAGCAGCGGCAGCUUUCAGUGGCGGCUGCUUGCACCAUGGAGGAGCAGAGGAGGAGGAGCUCUCAGCUGGAUGGAGGAGGAGGAGGAGGAGGAAGAAGAAGGGGGGCACAGGGACUGCCAUGGAGAGGUAUGGAGACUUUGCUACCCGCUGGGGCUCUGUAGCCAGGCCCCCAGCCCAGCCUCUGUGACAGUCCGGGAUUUUUCCUCUGUUCCUUCAUGCGAUGAGUCCGUGGCUGCUUCUGUGAUGUACUCUCCAGAGUGCAAGGCGGAGGUGACCCCCUCACAUGAUGGCAGCCGCACCUUCAGCUACACCCUGGAGGACCACACCAAGCAAGCCUUCAGCGUCAUGAACCAGCUGCGCCUGAGCCAGCAGCUCUGCGACGUCACCUUGCGGGUCAAGUACAAGGACCUUUCGCCGGCCGACUUCCAGGCCCACAAGGUGGUGUUGGCCUCCUCCAGCCCUGUCUUCAAGGCCAUGUUCACCAUGGGUCUCCGGGAGCAGGGCAUGGAGGUCGUCCCCAUUGAGGGCAUUCACCCCAAAGUCAUGGAGCGCCUCAUUGAGUUUGCCUACACUGCCUCCAUCUCGGUGGGCGAGCAGUGCGUGCUGCACGUCAUGAAUGGGGCCGUCAUGUACCAGAUCGACAGCGUGGUCCAGGCCUGCUGUGACUUCCUCGUGCAGCAGCUGGACCCCAGCAACGCCAUCGGCAUCGCCAACUUUGCCGAGCAGAUCAGCUGCACAGAGCUGCACCAGCGGGCGCGCGAGUACAUCUACAUGCACUUCGGGGAGGUGUCGAAGCAGGAGGAGUUCUUCAACCUCUCGCACUGCCAGCUGGUGACGCUGAUCAGCCGGGACGAGCUGAACGUGCGCUGCGAGUCCGAGGUCUUCCAUGCCUGCAUCAACUGGGUGAAGUACGACUGCGAGAACCGGCGGCUCUACAUCCAGGCCCUGCUCAGGGCUGUGCGCUGCCACUCGCUCACUCCGCGCUUCCUGCAGAUGCAGCUGCAGAAGUGUGAGAUCCUCCAGUCGGACUCUCGCUGCAAGGACUACCUGGCCAAGAUCUUCCAGGACCUGACCCUGCACAAGCCAACAAAGGACGUGUCCUGCCGCACACCCAAAGUGGGGCAGCUCAUCUACACGGCGGGUGGCUACUACCGCCACUCGCUCAGCUACCUGGAAGCCUACAACCCUUCUGACGGCUCCUGGAUCCGGCUGGCAGACCUGCAGGUGCCCCGCAGCGGCCUGGCCAGCUGCGUGGUGAGCGGCCUUUUCUAUGCUGUGGGUGGGAGGAACAACUCCUCCGACGGCAACAUGGACUCUGACGCCAUUGACUGCUAUAAUCCCAUGACCAACCGGUGGUCUCCCUGCACUCCUAUGAGCGUCCCCCGUAACCGGAUUGGUGUGGGUGUGAUUGACGGCAUGAUCUACGCAGUGGGCGGCUCUUUUGGGAGUACCCAUCAUAACAGUGUGGAGAGGUAUGAGCCGGAGUGUGAUGAAUGGCAGCUUGUGGCACCCAUGCUCACCCGGCGGAUCGGGGUUGGCGUCGCUGUGCUGAACCGGCUCCUGUACGCUGUGGGGGGCUACGAUGGCACCUGCCGCCACAGCUCCGUGGAGUGCUACCACCCCGAGCGGAACGAGUGGGAGAUGAUUGCCCCGAUGAGGACUGUCCGGAGUGGAGCUGGGGUCUGUGCCCUGAAUAACUGCAUCUAUGCCAUGGGGGGCUACGAUGGCACCAACCAGCUCAACAGCAUGGAGCGCUACGAUGUCGAGACAGGCACCUGGUCCUUUGUGGCACCUAUGAAGCACCGGCGGAGUGCCCUGGGGGUCACCGUGCACCAGGGCAAGAUCUACGUACUGGGUGGCUAUGAUGGCGACACUUUCCUGGACAGUGUUGAGUGUUAUGACCCCGCCACUGAUACAUGGACAGAGGUUACCCACAUGACAUCCGGCCGCAGUGGCGUGGGGGUGGCCAUCACCAUGGAGCCAUGCUGCAAACAGGCCAAUAAGCAGAAGUGCCACUGUUGAAGGCAGGAGGGGGGCUGAGUGUCGCUGGAGGAAGGACCACCCAUUGGAGAGGUUUGAGUAUUAAGGCCUGCCUGCUGCCAAGACCUGUUCUGCCACAAUCAAGGCGAAGUGCCAACACUGGGUAGAAUUUCCCUGCCCCACUUGCCCUUCCGUAAUGAGGGUGAAGAACCGCUUGUAGACUCGGCUUUGCCGGGCUAGCUGCAGCUGAUUUGUUCUUGCCUCUCCACAUGAACCCUGCCUUGCUCUUGGCUCAGGUCAAGCAGGAAGAACUGUGUCUACAGAAACUGAAGGAACACAUUUGAUGUUUGCUGAAAACUAAUACUUCUUGAAAGGCUCUUCAAGAAUAGUUUAAUUAUGGAGUCUCCGAUGCACGAAUGGGAAGGAGUAUUUUGUACAUAGACUGUUCCUGCUCCUUUCAAAUGGGUUUUGUACAGAUAUUUUGACAACACACGCAACUCAGAAUUUAUCCAAACUUCUUUCUUCUUCUCCCUGUUCUUACUGAUACAUUCAUGGGAAACUUGUCAAGGUGUAAAUGGAGAAAGCAGGGAUGGGGAAGUUGUCUUUGGGCUGCUGCUCUGUGACUGAUGAGUUGCAGGGAACCCCACCCCCGAUUGCCUGCAGAUAAAGGAUACUUCCUUUGAUCACCUCUGGUUCACAGGAGUAGUCCCAGUCAAUGUGGCAGAUCGCGUAAUAAAGAUGCACAAGAUACCUGCAAGGCAUAAUGGAACCGAUGAAGUUGCCUCCUCAGAUGGCCAGUGGUGCUCCAAGAUCUUCACUGAGAUUCCAGCACCAGCAUCUCGGGGUUUUGGCAUGCAGUGUCCACUGCAGGCCCUACAGCCCCUCCUGGUGAUCCUCAGGCCAUAGUGUGCCGAAGACUUUUAUGCUGUUCCUCCACACCCACCCCAGCCCCUCUCUGCAUGAUCACACAUAGCUAAAAUUGACAUUUGUACAGCACUUUCAAAGGUUCAAGGUGUUUAACCCGAAUUAUUUUGUUACGUUUCUUCAAAGCGGGUUGGGCACCUUGUAGCUUUCCAAAUGCUGCACCCUACAAUUCGCAUCAGCCCAAACCAGCAUAGUCAAUGGGAAGGAUCACAAGAAUUGUGCCUCUCCAAUGUUUAAGCCUACAGGCUGCUUUCCUUUGCCUGAAAACAGCUUUACAGAGUAGUCCCGCAGCCUAGCGUCUUCCAGAUUGGUUGGCAUUUAAUUCCCAGUGGACAUGCUGGCUGGGAAUACCAGUAGUUGCAGCCCAAAUCAUUUGGAGGGCAUCAGGUUGGGAGAAAUGAAUGUGCAAGAGAAGGUGGUACAACUGCCCCUAUUGCAGAUGGGGAGGAGGGCUUCUCUGAGGCCAUGCAACCCAUUUGCGGCAAGUGAAUGUGAACUGGGCACUGCCCAGUUUGUACCUCAAUCUCUCAGCCUCUGUGCUACGUGAAAUGAUACAAGAAAAGUGGUAGCAGAAAGCUCCCUACUCCUAUAGUAAGCGCACCACCUGUGCCUUCAGUUAACUGUCCUGUUCAAAGACACUGCUAAGCAGGGAGCAUAUGGGUGUCAGUUCUUCGCACCACGGUGACCAAAUAACAUAAAUGGAACACACGUAUCACACAUUCAGAAAGGCUCCACUGGCCAUUCAUUAAAGGUGGACAUCUUUAUGUUUGAACUGAGAAGCCAAGAGGCUUAGGGCAGGUAGCUAAUAGGACAGCCAAAGCCAAGUUCUGAGUUGGGAUGAAGCCCCUUAAUUUUUUGGCACAAGGUACCCUGAUUUUAAGCAAAGGUAUUUUCAUUGUGGUCAGGCAGAGGGCACAACAGGACAGAAGACCCUGACACAGUUUCCCAGUAGCGUAAACCAUUGUUCAGCUGGACUGGCUGCCCGAUGCACUAACCAGCUAGACCUGGAAUAUGGCAACAAUCCAGCAGCUCUCAACAGAACACUGUCCCCUCACUAUACAAGCAAAGGAAUCCUGUAAUGAAACAAGCUUGUACCUUAAGUCAUGAAUGUCAUUCAUUACCCUGUGGAACAAUGGACAGUGAGGCAAAGGCCCUUGUUGCUGGCUUGCGUGGCAGAGACCUCAAAUAGCUCCGUGUCUACUAAGGAUACCCCGUGCAAAAGCCUAACUUAUCAUCUCCACCCGUUCCCCAUGAGUUGACCUGGAAAUAAAAGAAGCAGGAGGAGGCCUUUACUCACUUAGCUGCCAUGCAUGUUUCAGCUGCUUCAGCCAUGCUCUUCUCCUGCUUGAUUUCUUCUCUCAGUGCCUCCAGCUCUUUCCUUAAUUCAGUACAUCUUAAAAGUGAAGGAAUUUUCUUUCCAAAUGCUUUCCAAAAACACGGGUUAGCAACAUUCAAUCCUCCAGAUAUUUUGGUGUACAACUCCUGUGAUUCCUUACCAGUGGCUAUGCUGGUUAAAGCUGGUGGGAUUUGUAGCUGUUAAGGUGCUUUGGCCUACAAAUCACCCAAAUCUACCUGAAACCGACAGCUGCUAAUUAUUUUAGCAGGGCGAUAGCUCAUUGUGGACAAAAGCAGUAACAUUCCCUUCUACAAUCCCAGCCCAAUUUUUAUCUGAAGUAGUAUCUGAGGUAACUGGAGAAUUUUCCAGCGAGGGCUAUCUGAAACACCUUCUGAUCCCCUUGUAAGAGUAGACCAGAAAUGGAGCCACAUGCAGUGAAAUGAAAGAUCCUUACUUCACAGCAUGGGCAGCUGAGCUAGGGAAAAACUUCAGUGGAGAGUUCUGGCUAGGAAAGGCCAGAAUUAGGUUGAGCUGUAGCCUCUCCAGCAGCAGAAGUGAGCUGACAGAGUGUCAAGCCUCUCUGGCAAAGAAUCUCCUGACUCGCUUGUUCAUGCAAGGGUAAAUGCUGGUGUAGAUAAGGAGCCACUUCAUAUAGAACAGGGCCACAGUGUAAAUAGUGUUUCACCAGGCCCAGAAUGGUCAUCUAAGCUCAAGUUCUCGAGAUCUUUCCCAGUUCUGCUACCCAAGAACUUGCAGCGGGAGGUACAAUGGACUGAACAGGGAACAGUCAGCAUUCCAAGUACAUGCUGUCCUGGUGAGCUCUGGCAAAUCACAGAGCUUACCAGAUGCACAACUUUUAGCCCUCCAGAUGUUUUGGCCUACAAUUCCCAUAAUGCCUUACUAUUGACUGUGCUGACUAGGGCUGAGAGCCAUAGGCUAAAACUUUUGGAGGACUGGACACCCUGCCAUCAAGGAAGCAGAGGGAAAGGAAGCAAGAGGCAUGGUCUGGUCAGUAUUACCCUUGCUUAAUGAGACUCACUGUUCUGAGAAGAGUGACUUUCUGUGAAUAACUCAUGAUAAACUACCCAGAGUAUGCAGCUGGAAUGCACCCUGCAGGUCUUUAUUUACAGAGGGGAAAAAACCUUGCUUAACCGGGGCAGGAAAGUUCAUUUAGAACAAUAACAACUAAGGUUACCAAGCAGUCACCAACUUCUGCGGGGGUUUUUGGUCUAAAAGGUGAGUCAUGUUUGGAAGGACAAAACAUCUAUGAUUCAGCCCCAGAGGCUGAUGUGGAAGGAUAUCUGGUGCUGGUCCUCUGUUUGUCAUCCUUCUCACUUGCCUGCAGCAAUUCAUCUUCUAUUUUCUGCAACUUUUGGAGGCUUGCGUUCAGCUCUUCUUCCUGGUCAGCCAGCUUCUGGGCCACUUUUACCUCAGCAGUCAUAAGCUCUGCAAUGACGAAAAAGGAGCCUCCAAUUAAAAUGUAGCUGGCAGGCACGCUUGCUCUGCUAGCAGUGACACCAGCUCCUUGUUUUCACGCACCAGAGCAAUCUGCAUGACUCCACAAAUCACCUCAGCAAUCCACACUUCAUUGGAUGUGCUGUUCAUGCACUUUAAAGCCUGGAAGCAAGAGUAGGCAACCUGGUACCCCCCAGACACUUUGGACCAGAACUCCCAUCAUCUCACAGGACUGGAUGUGCUGGCUGAGGCCGAUGAGAAUUAUCCUUUGAGAUAGCCAGAUGGUGCCAGAUUGUUUGUUCCUGCCAUAAACAGCCUUGGGUCAAGUUGCCUUAAACGGCUACCUGUUCCCAUAUGAGCCUCCCCAGCCACAUUACACCUUCUGCAGGGGCCCUGUUCCGCAUGCCCUUGCCAUCUAAAAACAAGGAACAGGGACACAGGACAGAGCCUUCUUUGUAGUGGUGUCCAAGUUGUGAAAGUCUCCCUAAUGUCCAAUGCACUUCUUCACUGCUGGCCCUUAGACUGCAGCCUAAGGCAGCCCUAUCACCAGCAAAACUUUGGGAUGGCCGGAUUCUUUUCUGAUAAGUGUUUGUGGAUUUUGCUUUGCUAAUGUUUCUGCUCUUGAGAAUGUUUUUGCUUGAAAUUUUACCUUUGUAUUGUUCUUGAUACCUAUACACCCCCAUAAAGGUUUUUAACUGAA